AAAGCUCUCUGCUCCAAAGGUUUCUGAUACAUUUACUUUUUUCUCUUGUUUCUGUGGCACUAAAUAUUUGAGAGAAGUCCCAGGAAAUACAGAACAAAACACCAAAUGUGUCAUGUCCAUGAAGUAAUGUCCUGGCUGAAGGUCCAUGGUGUGCCCCAGCUGGUGAAUCACUGCGUAUCCAGGAGAGAGCAAAGGUGUACAACUUCAGUUCUUUGAUCAUGGAAGCUGACAGCUCAUACCUGACUACUACUGAGAUGGUG
rnacentral:lncRNA from 1 species